CCUACGGGGAGCAGCAGUGGGGAAUAUUGGACAAUGGGGGAAACCCUGAUCCAGCGACGCCGCGUGAGUGAAGAAGUAUUUCGGUACGUAAAGCUCUAUCAGCAGGAAAGAAAAUGACGGUACCUGACUCAGAAGCCCCGGCUAACUACGUGCCAGCAGCCGGGGUAAUACGUAGGGGGCAAGCGUUAUCCGGGUUUAGUGGGUGUAAAGGGUGCGCAGGCGGAAGAUAAAGUCAGAGGUAAAAGUGAGAGGCUCAACCUCUUCGAGCCGUUGAAACUGGUUUUCUUGAGUGAGUGAGAAGUAUGCGGAAGGCGUGGUGUAGCGGUGAAAUGCAUAGAUAGCACGCAGAACUCCGAUUGCGAAGGCAGCAUACCGGCGCUCAACUGACGCUCAUGCACGAAAGUGUGGGUAUCGAACAGGAUUAGAUACCCCUGUAGUC
rnacentral:rRNA from 1 species